rnacentral:rRNA from 2 species
UGCUGGAGGUAUCAGAAGUGCGAAUGCUGACAUAAGUAACGAUAAAGCGGGUGAAAAGCCCGCUCGCCGGAAGACCAAGGGUUCCUGUCCAACGUUAAUCGGGGCAGGGUGAGUCGACCCCUAAGGCGAGGCCGAAAGGCGUAGUCGAUGGGAAACAGGUUAAUAUUCCUGUACUUGGUGUUACUGCGAAGGGGGGACGGAGAAGGCUAUGUUAGCCGGGCGACGGUUGUCCCGGUUUAAGCAUGUAGGCGGAGGUUCCAGGUAAAUCCGGUACCUUUUAACGCUGAGGUGUGAUGACGAGGCACUACGGUGCUGAAGUAACAAAUGCCCUGCUUCCAGGAAAAGCCUCUAAGCAUCAGGUAACAUCAAAUCGUACCCCAAACCGACACAGGUGGUCAGGUAGAGAAUACCAAGGCGCUUGAGAGAACUCGGGUGAAGGAACUAGGCAAAAUGGUGCCGUAACUUCGGGAGAAGGCACGCUGGUGUGUAGGUGAAGUCCCUGCGGAUGGAGCUGAGACCAGUCGAAGAUACCAGCUGGCUGCAACUGUUUAUUAAAAACACAGCACUGUGCAAACACGAAAGUGGACGUAUACGGUGUGACGCCUGCCCGGUGCCGGAAGGUUAAUUGAUGGGGUUAUCCGUAAGGAGAAGCUCUUGAUCGAAGCCCCGGUAAACGGCGGCCGUAACUAUAACGGUCCUAAGGUAGCGAAAUUCCUUGUCGGGUAAGUUCCGACCUGCACGAAUGGCGUAAUGAUGGCCAGGCUGUCUCCACCCGAGACUCAGUGAAAUUGAACUCGCUGUGAAGAUGCAGUGUACCCGCGGCAAGACGGAAAGACCCCGUGAACCUUUACUAUAGCUUGACACUGAACAUUGAGCCUUGAUGUGUAGGAUAGGUGGGAGGCUUUGAAGCGUGGACGCCAGUCUGCGUGGAGCCAACCUUGAAAUACCACCCUUUAAUGUUUGAUGUUCUAACGUAGGCCCCUGACCGGGGUUGCGGACAGUGUCUGGUGGGUAGUUUGACUGGGGCGGUCUCCUCCCAAAGAGUAACGGAGGAGCACGAAGGUUAGCUAAUCCUGGUCGGACAUCAGGAGGUUAGUGCAAUGGCAUAAGCUAGCUUGACUGCGAGCGUGACGGCGCGAGCAGGUGCGAAAGCAGGUCAUAGUGAUCCGGUGGUUCUGAAUGGAAGGGCCAUCGCUCAACGGAUAAAAGGUACUCCGGGGAUAACAGGCUGAUACCGCCCAAGAGUUCAUAUCGACGGCGGUGUUUGGCACCUCGAUGUCGGCUCAUCACAUCCUGGGGCUGAAGUAGGUCCCAAGGGUAUGGCUGUUCGCCAUUUAAAGUGGUACGCGAGCUGGGUUUAGAACGUCGUGAGACAGUUCGGUCCCUAUCUGCCGUGGGCGCUGGAGAAUUGAGGGGGGCUGCUCCUAGUACGAGAGGACCGGAGUGGACGCAUCACUGGUGUUCGGGUUGUCAUGCCAAUGGCACUGCCCGGUAGCUAAAUGCGGAAGAGAUAAGUGCUGAAAGCAUCUAAGCACGAAACUUGCCCCGAGAUGAGUUCUCCCUGAGACUUUAAGUCUCCUGAAGGAACGUUGAAGACGACGACGUUGAUAGGCCGGGUGUGUAAGCGCAGCGAUGCGUUGAGCUAACCGGUACUAAUGAACCGUGAGGCUUAACCUU